CACCAGCGCCUCGAGUGGGGGUCGCGAUUAUUGGGUCUAAAGCGUCCGUAGCAGGCUCGGUAAAUGCUUUGUGAAAUCGGCAGGCUUAACCUGCCGGCGUGCAGAGUAGACUGCAGAGCUCGAGACCGGGAGAGGUUGGAAGUAUUCCUUGGGUACCGGUAAAAUGGGUUAAUCCAGGGAGGACUACCUAUGGCGAAGGCAUCCAACCAGAACGGUUCUGACUGUGAGGGACGAAAGCUAGGGGAGCAAAACGG
rnacentral:rRNA from 1 species